GAGUAAAGCUCCGGCGCUUCGGGAGAGGCCUGCGGCCCAUCAGCUAGUUGGUAGGGUAACGGCCUACCAAGGCAGAGACGGGUAGGGGGCGUGAGAGCGCGGACCCCCACACUGGCACUGCGACACGGGCCAGACUCCUACGGGAGGCAGCAGUAAGGAAUAUUGCGCAAUGGACGAAAGUCAGACGCAGCGACGCCGCGUGGGCGAUGAAGGCCUUCGGGUUGUAAAGCCCUUUUAUGGGGGAAGAGAAAAAGGACGGUACCCCAUGAAUAAGUCCCGGCUAACUACGUGCCAGCAGCCGCGGUAAAACGUAGGGGACAAGCGUUAUCCGGAUUCACUGGGCGUAAAGAGCGUUGAGGCGGUUCCGUAAGUUGGGCGUGAAAGCUCCGGGCUUAACCCGGAGAUGUCGUUCAAUACUGCGGGGCUUGAGGACAGCAGAGGAAGGUGGAAUUCCCGGUGUAGUGGUGAAAUGCGUAGAUAUCGGGAGGAACACCCGUGGCGAAGGCGGCCUUCUGGGCUGUUCCUGACGCUGAAGGCGAAAGCUAGGGGAGCGAACGGGAUUAGAUACCCCGGUAGUCCUAGCUGUAAACGAUGGAUGCUGGGUGUGGGGGGUGUAAAUUCCCUCUGUGCCGAAGCAAACGCGUUAAGCAUCCCGCCUGGGGACUACGGCCGCAAGGCUAAAACUCAAACGAAUUGACGGGGGCCCGCACAAGCAGCGGAGCGUGUGGUUUAUUUCGAUGCCUACACGAGGAACUCUUACCUGGGUUUGACCUGCCCGUGGUAGGGGAACCCGAAGGGGACCGACCUUCGGGAGCGUGCACCGGUCCUGCUUGGCUGUCGUCAGCUCGUUCCGUGAGUUGUCGGGUUAAGUUCUGUAACUGAGCGCAACCAUUGCCCUUAGUUACAAGUGUCUAAGGGGACUGCCCGGGACAACUGGGAGUAAGGUGGGGAUGAUGUCAAGUCAGCAUGGCCUUUAUAUCCAGGGCUACACACACGCUACUAUGGCCAGUACAAUAGGUAGCCAAGUCGUGAGACGGAGCCAAUCCUUAAAGCUGGUCUCAGUUCGAAUUGCAGUCUGCAACUCGACUGCAUGAAGCUGGAGUUGCUAGUAAUCGC
rnacentral:rRNA from 1 species